CUGUAGGCCCAGCUUCUCAGGAGGCUGAGGCAGGAGAAUCACUUGAACUGGAGGCGAGCUAUGGGAAGCACUGGGAUGAGAUCAGCAACAAGAGGCAUCUCCGUGUCAGCCAGACCUUCAAGAAUGACUCGGGGCCCUCCCUGAGCAAUCACUUCAUGGAGGUGGCCCACCAGUUGCUGUCCUGGGCUGAGGCCACAUUCUCAU